GAAGCCGGCCGGACAACCGCUGUGGCAGCUCGCCAUGGAGGAAAGUCCGGGCUCCACAGGGCAGGGUGCCAGGUAACGCCUGGGGGGCGAGAGCCCACGGAAAGUGCCGCAGAAAACAUACCGCCGAUGGCCCCCCGCAAGGGGGGCACAGGCAAGGGUGAAAAGGUGCGGUAAGAGCGCACCGCGCACCUGGCAACAGGUGUGGCAGGGUAAACCCCACCCGGAGCAAGACCAAAUAGGGGGGCAAUGGCGUGGCCCGCGCCGCUCCCGGGUAGGUCGCUCGAGGCGCACGGUGACGUGCGUCCCAGAUGAAUGGUUGUCCUCGACAGAACCCGGCUUACAGGCCGGCUUCAAGA
rnacentral:RNase_P_RNA from 1 species